rnacentral:ncRNA from 2 species
AAGUUUUGCUGGGGGAGCUUUGAAAGGCUGAGAAGGAAAAUAAUUUCCUGACCCUUGGAACCUGAUGCGGUUAGUACCGACGUAGGGAAGCGAAUCAUGCCUGAU